rnacentral:rRNA from 1 species
AUUGAACGCUGGCGGCAUGCCUUACACAUGCAAGUCGAACGGCAGCACGGGGGCAACCCUGGUGGCGAGUGGCGAACGGGUGAGUAAUACAUCGGAACGUAUCCAGUCGUGGGGGAUAACCAGUCGAAAGAUUGGCUAAUACCGCAUGAGAUCGAAAGAUGAAAGCGGGGGACCCCGAGGGCAACUGAGGGGCCUCGCGCGAUCGGAGCGGCCGAUGUCGGAUUAGCAGUUGGCGGGGU